rnacentral:rRNA from 2 species
CCUGCCCAGAAGGGGGGAUAACACCUGGAAACAGAUGCUAAUACCGCAUAACAACUUGGACCGCAUGGUCCGAGCUUGAAAGAUGGCUUCGGCUAUCACUUUUGGAUGGUCCCGCGGCGUAUUAGCUAGAUGGUGGGGUAACGGCUCACCAUGGCAAUGAUACGUAGCCGACCUGAGAGGGUAAUCGGCCACAUUGGGACUGAGACACGGCCCAAACUCCUACGGGAGGCAGCAGUAGGGAAUCUUCCACAAUGGACGAAAGUCUGAUGGAGCAACGCCGCGUGAGUGAAGAAGGGUUUCGGCUCGUAAAACUCUGUUGUUAAAGAAGAACAUAUCUGAGAGUAACUGUUCAGGUAUUGACGGUAUUUAACCAGAAAGCCACGGCUAACUACGUGCCAGCAGCCGCGGUAAUACGUAGGUGGCAAGCGUUGUCCGGAUUUAUUGGGCGUAAAGCGAGCGCAGGCGGUUUUUUAAGUCUGAUGUGAAAGCCUUCGGCUCAACCGAAGAAGUGCAUCGGAAACUGGGAAACUUGAGUGCAGAAGAGGACAGUGGAACUCCAUGUGUAGCGGUGAAAUGCGUAGAUAUAUGGAAGAACACCAGUGGCGAAGGCGGCUGUCUGGUCUGUAACUGACGCUGAGGCUCGAAAGUAUGGGUAGCAAACAGGAUUAGAUACCCUGGUAGUCCAUACCGUAAACGAUGAAUGCUAAGUGUUGGAGGGUUUCCGCCCUUCAGUGCUGCAGCUAACGCAUUAAGCAUUCCGCCUGGGGAGUACGGCCGCAAGGCUGAAACUCAAAGGAAUUGACGGGGGCCCGCACAAGCGGUGGAGCAUGUGGUUUAAUUCGAAGCUACGCGAAGAACCUUACCAGGUCUUGACAUACUAUGCAAAUCUAAGAGAUUAGACGUUCCCUUCGGGGACAUGGAUACAGGUGGUGCAUGGUUGUCGUCAGCUCGUGUCGUGAGAUGUUGGGUUAAGUCCCGCAACGAGCGCAACCCUUAUUAUCAGUUGCCAGCAUUAAGUUGGGCACUCUGGUGAGACUGCCGGUGACAAACCGGAGGAAGGUGGGGAUGACGUCAAAUCAUCAUGCCCCUUAUGACCUGGGCUACCACGUGCUACAAUGGAUGGUACAACGAGUUGCGAACUCGCGAGAGUAAGCUAAUCUCUUAAAGCCAUUCUCAG